rnacentral:rRNA from 1 species
CCUACGGGGGGCAGCAGUGAGGAAUAUUGGUCAAUGGCCGAGAGUCUGAACCAGCCAAGUAGCGUGAAGGAAGACUGCCCUAUGGGUUGUAAACUUCUUUUAUAAAGGAAUAAAACGAGGCACGUGUGCCUUUUUGCAUGUACUUUAUGAAUAAGCAUCGGCUAACUCCGUGCCAGCAGCCGCGGUAAUAAGGAGGAUGCGAGCGUUAUCCGGAUUUAUUGGGUUUAAAGGGAGCGUAGGUUGGUGGUUAAGUCAGUUGGGAAAGGUUGCGGCUCAACCACAAAAUUGCAGUUGAAACUGGCAGUCUUGAGUACGUUUGAGGUAGGCGGAAUGCGUGGUGUAGCGGUGAAAUGCUUAGAUAUCACGAAGAACCCCGAUUGCGAAGGCAGCUUACUAAACUGUGACUGACACUGAUGCUCGAAAGUGUGGGUAUCAAACAGGAUUAGAUACCCUUGUAGUC